AACAAGCGAAUGAGUCAUUCA
rnacentral:siRNA from 1 species